UCCCGCAGACAAUGGCUGCUUUGUCCAGGAGAGAUGAUGAUUUAUAUGACAACCUGGCUUAAACCUCAGAAACCUUCAAUUUCUCCUUCUUCAAACAGUUUUUAUUAGAAGGAUGGUUGUGAAAAAUGAAGUCCUUAUGCACAAAGCCACCGCGUUUCACUGCGAUGUUCACCUGGCCUAUGAAGAUCUCCGGACACAAAACCAAGCAACAAAAUCAGGAUGCAACAAGAUGGAGGGGCAAAGCACAGAAGAGGAGUGGACCCUGCCAUAGGAUGGUGACGAGUCCAAUCUUGUGCACGUCUUGUACACAGAAGAGCAGCAGCUGCAAGCUCAGGAACAAAACGGCCACAUCAUGCACAGAAGACAGGGCCCCAUGAUAGAUACUCCAUUUCUUCCUCAGACAUCCACUCUGAGAAAACAGUUGAGUUUCACUGGCCAUGAGAACCAUCUGGAUUCCGGUGAUAACUGGAUCCUCCUGUUCCCAAGGCUACCCAUCAAGAAAAUGCCCUCUGCCCACAGCCUACAGCCAAAGGAUUUUGUGGGUUGAGUCUCCUCAGCAGAAAGCUCUGUAUUCAACCAGGCUUGCUAGCCCUGUUGCCAAGAACCUGGAAACACCUGAUGCAGCAUCCUUGGUCCAAAUUUGCUCCUUGAAACCCCCAAUUUGGGUAUGAAAAUCAGCCUCCUCAGAUGACAAUCGUUCUCGGAUAAGUUUCCGUUGUUACCAGCGUUCUAAGGAAUUUCAAUUCCUGGAGAGCUGAAGGACAUUACUUGCUCUGUAGCUGUACCUUCCAGCAUGGUGAGGCCAAAGGAAUACUCUCCUUUACUGGUGAUGUCUCAGUCUGAAGGCACCAUUUCUGGUCACCUUCAGUCUUUGGCAAAAUGCCUUAGGGAGGCACAUGGCUUUCAGGUACGGGGUGCACUGUUUUGAUUUUUCACUGUUUUUCUUCUUUCUUACCCUAGAACACUGGAUUUAGUUAGAAAGUUGAAGCAACAGACUGUGCUCC